ACCUGGAUGGCUCAGUGGUUGAGUGUCUGACUUUGGCUCAGGUAGUGAUCUUGGGGUCCUGGGAUUGAGUCCUGCUUCAGGGA
rnacentral:tRNA from 1 species